CGAGCUCACGCUUUUCGGGCCUGAAUUUGUAUCGGCAUGCUUGGGGCAGGAGAAGGCGAUUGCUGGUACUAUGAGCAGGUAAAAUUGUGGAGAGCCUUUGGGAUUUAGUAACCAGGCAGGAGCAGGAGAGGGAGCAGCAGUGGCGGCAGAAAGGUAAAAUUGUGAAGAACAUUUGGGAUUUUGAAAGGAGGUGUGGAAUCUCGGA